CCUACGGGUGACAGCAGUGAGGAAUAUUGGUCAAUGGACGAGAGUCUGAACCAGCCAAGUAGCGUGAAGGAUGACUGCCCUAUGGGUUGUAAACUUCUUUUAUAUGGAAAUAAACUGUUCCACGUGUGGGAUUUUGUAUGUACCAUAUGAAUAAGGAUCGGCUAACUCCGUGCCAGCAGCCGCGGUAAUACGGAGGAUCCGAGCGUUAUCCGGAUUUAUUGGGUUUAAGGGGAGCGUAGGUGGAUUGUUAAGUCAGUUGUGAAAGUUUGCGGCUCAACCGUAAAAUUGCAGUUGAAACUGGCAGUCUUGAGUACAGUAGAGGUGGGCGGAAUUCGUGGUGUAGCGGUGAAAUGCUUAGAUAUCACGAAGAACUCCGAUUGCGAAGGCAGUUCACUGGACUGCAACUGACACUGAGGCUCGAAAGUGUGGGUAUCAAACAGGAUUAGAUACCCGUGUAGUC
rnacentral:rRNA from 1 species